GACGAACGCUGGCGGCGUGCCUAAUACAUGCAAGUUGAGCGAUGAAGAUUGGUGCUUGCACCAAUUUGAAGAGCAGCGAACGGGUGAGUAACGCGUGGGGAAUCUGCCUUUGAGCGGGGGACAACAUUUGGAAACGAAUGCUAAUACCGCAUAACAACUUUAAACAUAAGUUUUAAGUUUGAAAGAUGCAAUUGCAUCACUCAAAGAUGAUCCCGCGUUGUAUUAACUAGUUGGUGAGGUAAAGGCUCACCAAGGCAAUGAUACAUAGCCGACCUGAGAGGGUGAUCGGCCACAUUGGGACUGAGACACGGCCCAAACUCCUACGGGAGGCAGCAGUAGGGAAUCUUCGGCAAUGGACGAAAGUCUGACCGAGCAACGCCGCGUGAGUGAAGAAGGUUUUCGGAUCGUAAAACUCUGUUGGUAGAGAAGAACGUUGGUGAGAGUGGAAAGCUCAUCAAGUGACGGUAACUACCCAGAAAGGGACGGCUAACUACGUG
rnacentral:rRNA from 1 species